rnacentral:rRNA from 1 species
CCUACGGGUGGCAGCAGUAGGGAAUAUUCGGCAAUGGGCGCAAGCCUGACGCAGCAACGCCGCGUGAAGGAAGAAGGCUUUCGGGUUGUAAACUUCUUUUCUGAGGGACGAAGGAAGUGACGGUACAUCAGUAAUGAGCCACGGCUAACUACGUACCAGCAGCCGCGGUAAUACGGAGGUGGCAAGCGUUAUCCGCAUUGAUUGGGUGUAAUGGGCGUGUAGGCGGGAAAGUAAGGCUGAUGUGAAAGCUCAGGGCUUAACCGUGAGCCUGCAUUGGAAACUGUUUGUCUUGAGUGCUGGAGAGGCAAUCGGAAGUCCGUGUGUAGCGGUGAAAUGCGUAGAUAUACGGAGGAACACCAGUGGCGAAGGCGGAUCGCUGGACAGUAACUGACGCUGAGGCGCGAAAGCGUGGGGAGCAAACAGGAUUAGAUACCCGAGUAGUC